rnacentral:ncRNA from 1 species
UCUUCUUAGAGGGACUUUGUGUGUUUAACACAAGGAAGCUUGAGGCAAUAACAGGUCUGUGAUGCCCUUAGAUGUUCUGGGCUGCACGCGCGCUACACUGACACGAUCAACAAGUAUUUCCUUGCCCGGUAGGGUUAGGGUAAUCUUUUGAAAUCGUGUCGUGCUAGGGAUAGACGAUUGCAAUUAUUCGUCUUCAACGAGGAAUUCCUAGUAAAUGCAAGUCAUCAGCUUGCGUUGAUUACGUCCCUGCCCUUUGUACACACCGCCCGUCGCUCCUACCGAUUGAGUGAUCCGGUGAGCUGUCCGGACUGCGAUUAGUUCAGUUUCUGUUCUCUUCGCGGGAAGUUCUGCAAACCUUAUCACUUAGAGGAAGGAGAAGUCGUAACAAGGUUUCCGUAGGUGAACCUGCGGAAGGAUCAUUC